rnacentral:RNase_MRP_RNA from 2 species
GGUUUCCAAUCAGUUCAACUUCGGGGUCACCUACAGAGUCCUUGUGACUCCCAUACCUCGUGGAAAGUCCCCGGAGAUGGGGCGGAAAGCGCCGCAUCGUGAUGAUGUCAGGCCGGGGGAGCGCUGUAGGGGAGGUCACCUGACCAGUGCUGCCCCGUAGCGUUGCUCAGAGCACAGAUAAUGUUGAAGGACUUCACUGUCCAACGAAAUGGGGCUUACUCGGUUUGGAAAC